AAGUCGUAACAAGGUUUCCGUAGGUGAGCCUGCGGAAGGAUCAUUAUCGAGAGAGGGGCUUCGCGCUCCCGGGGGUUUCGGCCCCCCAACUCUUCACCCAUUGUCAACAUACCCCUUGUUGCUUUUGGCGGGAUUUCCGGGGGUAUGUCUUGCGUAGGUUUGUCAUAAAACCCCGUGCCGAGAUGUGCCCCCGGCGCCCGCCGGAGGCCCAUUAAAAUCUGUUUAUCAGUGAUGUCCCGAGUAAAAAACCAAUAAUAAAA
rnacentral:misc_RNA from 1 species